ACUACUUGGAUAACCGUGGUAAUUCUAGAGCUAAUACAUGCUAAAAAUCCCGACUUCGGAAGGGAUGUAUUUAUUAGAUUAAAAACCAAUGCCCUUCGGGGCUCACUGGUGAUUCAUGAUAACUCCUCGAAUCGCAUGGCCUUGUGCCGGCGAUGGUUCAUUCAAAUUUCUUCCCUAUCAACUUUCGAUGUUUGGGUAUUGGCCAAACAUGGUUGCAACGGGUAACGGAGGGUUAGGGCUCGACCCCGGAGAAGGAGCCUGAGAAACGGCUACUACAUCCAAGGAAGGCAGCAGGCGCGCAAAUUACCCAAUCCCGACACGGGGAGGUAGUGACAAUAAAUACUGAUACAGGGCUCUUUUGGGUCUUGUAAUUGGAAUGAGUACAAUUUAAAUCCCUUAACGAGGAACAAUUGGAGGGCAAGUCUGGUGCCAGCAGCCGCGGUAAUUCCAGCUCCAAUAGCGUAUAUUAAAGUUGUUGUGGUUAAAAAGCUCGUAGUUGAACCUUGGGCCUGGCUGGCCGGUCCGCCUCACCGCGUGUACUGGUCCGGCCGGGCCUUUCCCUCUGUGGAACCCCAUGCCCUUCACUGGGUGUGGCGGGGAAACAGGACUUUUACUGUGAAAAAAUUAGAGUGCUCCAGGCAGGCCUAUGCUCGAAUACAUUAGCAUGGAAUAAUAGAAUAGGACGUGUGGUUCUAUUUUGUUGGUUUCUAGGACCGCCGUAAUGAUUAAUAGGGACAGUCGGGGGCAUCAGUAUUCAAUUGUCAGAGGUGAAAUUCUUGGAUUUAUUGAAGACUAACUACUGCGAAAGCAUUUGCAAAGGAUGUUUUCAUUAAUCAGGAACGAAAGUUAGGGGAUCGAAGACGAUCAGAUACCGUCGUAGUCUUAACCAUAAACUAUGCCGACUAGGGAUCGGCCUUUAUUUUUUGACCCGUUCGGCACCUUACGAGAAA
rnacentral:rRNA from 1 species